rnacentral:lncRNA from 1 species
ACCUCUUAUUCAAAAAGAUGUAAAGAAGGGAUAAUACCAACUAACAUCCAUCCCCUGGUUAUGUGAUCAAAUAGAAAAAAAACAGCAACACAUAUCAGCCAUUCAAAUUUGUCUGAUCUAUACUCUAUAUCCCAACAUUUGCAAAAAGUACUGAAUUAAUGCACACUCAUAGUCAAAAGACCACGACCAAACCAUAAACUUAAAGCAAAAUAUUGCCAAAAGACAGGUACAUAUAAAACUAAAAUAAACAGUUAAAGCGAAGUGAUCACAAUGAUCACCCUACAAAAACAAGUUCCAUCUGAGUAGUCCAUAUAAACCUUAUUAUUUGGUACAUCCGAUAAAGCUCCGAGUAGGAGCAAAUAUAUGCUUCAUUAAACAACAAAAAGUUUAUAGGUAAUAGAGAGAAGGUCACUAAUCUGAUUGGUUGGAUGAUUGUGUGGAGCAGGAAGUCCCCUUAUAAAUUGGAUCACAAUAGACCACCACUCCAUCAGUUGCUUCUGUCUUGGACUCCGCUGCCCCUGGCUGAACACUAACCACUUCAAACUGAUCUUUCAAGAGUAGAUAACAUCUGUAAAUUUAAAACAAACUGCAUCAAGAUUAUGUACACAGCAUGAACUAGAUAACAAGAGUGAUGCAGGACAUGGAUUGAUGAAGGAAUAAAGGAGAACAAAAAAAAAAAAAUUAAAAAAGGCUUAAAAAGCACAAAUCACAAAGGCUUGAAACCAGUAUAAUCAAUUCAAUGAAUAAUAAUGAUGAGUUACAUCAGUUUCUAGUCUAGGGGUUAACAAACCUACAACUUGAACAUCAAGAAAAAUCCUAAUAUUAUAUAUGUAACUUAAAUUUAAGAGGAAAACAAAUCCUGAAUAAUAAUCUACUAUAAUUAAAAAGUCUAGAAUAAUUAACCUGAUAACAUAAAGGGAAAAUAACAUAUAGUGUGUCACUCUAGAUAGGUUAUCUAGAGGAUCAAGACAAGCAAAAAAGACGUAGUAUAGAUUAGUGAAUGACACAUUUGUAAAUAUGUCCAUUUGAUUUUUGAUUGAUUGAAUGUCAACAUAUUUACAAAGGUGUCGCUCACUAAUUUAAGCUACACGUCGUUUUGCAUGUUCUACUAGAUAACUUAUCUAAGUAACACACAAUAUGUUACCCUAUAAUAGACGAUAACAAAUUAUUACAAUCACUUUAUAUCUAAACAAAACAUAAAAUAUUCAAUAACAAUAUUAACUAAUUGCUUGGUCUCAUCCUCAUCAUUUUUAUCUUCUUUAAAAAAUGUAUUAAAAAAUUAUAAAAACAAAAAAGGAUGAAGAAGAAGAAAGAAAAAACCCGUCCUCGAGUUUUAAAGUAUGGGAGAAUCUAUAAGCCAUAAAAUGGAAUCCAAAUAUGAGAUAAAGCUUGAAACCAGUGAUCUCUUGGAAGCCAUAAAUAUACGUCUUCUCAACAUUUCCUCAUUGAAGUUGUCAGGUAUGAUGAAGCCAAUGCGUUGAAAGCUUAAAUGUUUCAUAUAUCAAUUUUAAAUGAGGAUUUUGCUAUCUCAACACAUUCAUUUGCUUCUUCGGUUUUAGUUUUAACAACGUUAAUCUUUGAUUAUUUCUUCAACUUCAACUUUUUCUUCAGCCUCUCAUAUUUUUUCAGCUUCGAGUUUGUCCAUGCUCUCCUUCGAUAUUUUUUGCAAAAUUCUGAAGAGCCCAUACUUUUUGGUUGCCUCAGCAUCGCUUUUAAAUGUUAUUCAUAAUUUCCCUCCCACACAGACACAAAAUUAAGCAUAUAUUUUUCUAUUUACAAUUUCUGUUUUUCAUGAAAAAUAUGCCUGCGUAUCUCAAGUAUGGCAAUCAUUGGCUUGUGGUCGUCUUUUAUGGAUAGAGUUUGAUGAACCAAAUAAGGAUAUAAUUAUAUUUUUGGUCUUGAACAAAAUACAAAAGAGAAUAGCACUUGGAUGUUUCCUCAUAACGUGUCUUUAAAGCUUCAAGGCUUUGUUCAUCUUAUUGUAGAGUGUAGUGUAGCACACACUCCCGUAACUAAAUUGUUAUCUGAAACGUGGUUAGUUUCAGUUCAUAAAACCGAUACGGGUAUGAGGUGCGCUACAAAGGCUAAAACGUGUAUGUGAUGACAGCUUUAUGUUGGUGCUUAUAUUUAGGAACUCUUAGAAUCUAAUAUAACUAAAUAAAAAAAAAUUAGUUGAACCAACAAGUAAAUUGUUUAAUAAACAGCAUCAUUGUUUGAGCAUCUAAUAUUAAGUUAACAUAUUGAUAUUUUUGCAACUAUAGGUAAUACAAAAAAAUAAUAUUUCGGUAUGCUAAAUUUAGGGGGUGUUUGUUACAGAUCAUGAAAGAUACCCGUCAAAACUCAGAUUACUACGUAUUUGAUUACUGCCUACUGGUAAUGGAAACUGGUCAAUUUUCGUUUGGUGAAAGUUAUUUGAUUACCAAUAAUUGUUAUUAGUGAGUGUUUGGUAAGAAUUCAAGAUUACAAGGUAUAUUUUUUGUUAACAAUCGUCUUUUUCUAAAAUGUCCCAUAUACUAAUUUAUGUCAAAUAAUUCACUAAAUGGAUUCUUGCCAAAUGGAAUUCAACGAUCAAAACAAUCCAAAUAAUUAAUUCACUAAAAUUUAAUGACACGUAUUAAAUAUUUUAUUAGUUUAUAAAAUAAUAACUCAUAAUAUAUUCAAUUAUUAAAUUAAAAAUAUUAAUUAAUUAAGUCAAUUAAGAACAUAAAUAUAUUAAACUUAUAAUAAUAAACAACAAAAUAAGACGAACAAGAACAUAAGGAUAUUUAUGUCCAAAUAAUUAAAAUAAAAAAGAGUACAUUUGAUAUAUAUGAAUAUUCACUUGGUAAAUAUUUUGUAUUUGUGAUAAAUAAUGAUAUUUAUGCUUAAAUUACUAAAAUAUGAGAGAUAUCGUUGUCGAUAUAAAGAUAUCAAGAUGGUCAACAUGUGGUAAUUUAAAAUUAUCACCUAUUUUUUGGUCAUCCAAAUACCCACCUCAAGUGGAAAAUCUUGACACUUUACCAGAUCUAAGGAUUACCAAGAAUAUAAAAUUACCAAGAUAACAAACAAGAUUUACAAGGAUGACCGACUCAAAUUACAGCAUAUCCAAGAUGACCAUUUCAAAUGACUUGUAACAAACGUCCCCUUAAUAUGUAAGAGUAUCAUGCUUGGGUACACAAGUACCAAUAUAUAGUUCUCUAGGUCAAUAAUAAAAGUAUUUGGUAACUCUAGAACCCUAAAACCAGAUUGGACAGUAAAACCUUGUAAAUUUCUCGUGCUAAACAAAAAUUCUAAAGUCACUAUUUGAGGCCAAUGAAAGUCUGGAUGUUCCAAAUAAUACUUUGACAAAAAAAAAAUGACUUAAUUGUCUAAGCUAAUAAAGCUGAAUUCACCACUCUCUAAUUAGUCAUAAAAUAUAGCAGCAAAGCCGUAAAAGGUCUUUUCCAAGAUUUUACAUGAUGGGUCAUCAUAAGUGAACACUAGUUCAAUAUCCAACACGGAAACUGCUCCCCAAGUGGUACAUCAGCAAAGCGCGACCAGAAACUAAUCCUUCUAUCCCACCACCCACAAAGUAAGAUUGAGGAACUACUGUAGUGAUUGUUUUUCUAAACACCUCCUCUAUACAGGAAAGCUCCUGAGGCAAAAACCCUCUCUCCAGCCAAACGAAAGACAACUGAAGACAACCCUCCUCCAAAGACUAAUUUCUACCACCAAAAUUCUCCAAAGCCAUUUACCCAACAAAGAUUGGUAGAAAGUGCCCUAUGUCUUGAAUGCCCAAGCCCAAGCCCAAGCCCAACCCAAUAGACCUAAGCAGCUCUAGAUAAAAAGGUCAUAUUUCCCUUUUAUCGUUACCUCUUUUGAAGUCUCUUGGUAAUUGGAUCCCAAAUGGCUCCGAAUUUAAAAGUGACAACCAAAGGUGAUGAGGAUGGAAGCAAAAGGAAUUUAAUAUUAUUGAGUUAUUAUUAUUUAUGGAUAAUUCCAACGUAAUUAGUUUAUUUAGUACAUAAUAUUAGGAUAUAUUUAAUUAUAUUAGUAGAAUAUUCAAGAGUAUUAAUUAUUUAAGGUAGUAGAUAAUUACUAGAAUUUUAUUUCCUUAUUUAAAUAGGUUACACAAUAUUUUAUUUAGCCUCCAAGUAUUAGAAUUUUCUUAUGCCUAUAUAAAAUGUUGUAAUCUAUGAUUAUUAAUUAUUGAAUCAUUGAUAUUAUUGAAUUAAAUCUUCUGAUUUGUGGCUUUUAGUCUUGUUAUCUUCUUUGAAUUCCCUUUAUUCUUUCAUCCAUCCUUGUGCUACAUCAAAAGGAAAGCACACUAAGACAUCAUAAAAGAACCAGCCGAACAACCCAAAUAGAAGCUAAAUUCUCCACAUUAUCCACCUAACCAACCGAAAACAUGGCACUUUUCUGCAAAUAAAUUCUCAAAACCAAAAAAUGCUUCAAAACAAAUCAGGAUACACCUCAAAGCCCACAAAUUCUCGGUUACUGCAUCAUAGAAAUUUCGGCAAUCAGAAGAUGAGAAACCAACAUUAAGGCCCUUCCCAACCUCCCAAUUGUAAAACCAUGAAUAAAAGCAUUUUUUUCAACCAACAUCCGUUGGGCCUAGAGGAAGAAGCCUGAUGCCCCUUAAGAAAUGUCUCGAGUUCGAGUCUUGUGAAUGGAAAAAACAGUUUUAAGGAGACACCCCCCCCCCCUCCCCCNNNNNNNNNNNNNNNNNNNNNNNNNNNNNNNNNNNNNNNNNNNNNNNNNNNNNNNNNNNNNNNNNNNNNNNNNNNNNNNNNNNNNNNNNNNNNNNNNNNNUCAAAAAAAAAAAAAACGAAAGAAUUUUUCAAUGAUUUUUCCGGAAAACAUGCUCAGAGUCCAUAACAAGAAGGAAAAGCAAGGAAAAUAAGAAAAUUCAAAGUAAGUGACAAAGACCCUAUUUUUCUAAGUGAAUCCUGAAAAAAGUUAUUCACGUUAAUUGGCACUAGAGAUCCUCACCCUCAAAGUAGUGAUGAGUGCAGUGAGCAAGCGCUUGAAGAUAAUGUUAGGAGCAUGUUAGUGGCUCCUAUUAGUAAAGGCCAAUAAAAAGUAUAAAUUUGAGAAUCAUGUAUUUUAUUUUCAUGAAAAUCAUCUCUUCUUUUUUUUGUCAAUUCUACCCUAAUCUACUUUUUCUUCCUUCCAUAACUCUUAAUCUAGUCUGAAUUAUCUUUUAUUAAGUUCAAAUCAUUAUAAGGAUCCUCAUUGAUCCAAAAAGAGCACCCAAUGCAUAUAUAUGUUGAAUUGUCAAAGUUCUUAUAAAUAGGUAUGGUAAGUGGUAACAGGUAUGGUCCGGGCGACCCCUUCUCAUACCCUCCCCGCCAAUAACUAGCUAUCCCCCGAACCCGACCCCGUAAACAAUAUCUCAUACUCACCUCGUUUACCCGAUUACUUCGUUAUUUACCAAAUUAAAAGUUUUUACUCUUUUUAUAUUACUUUGUACAACUACUUUAAAUUCAAAAUCAAACAUACAAUAUUUCUAUUACUAGCAACAUAUUAUAUUAUUAACGUAAUGAAUUUAAAAUGAAAUAACCUAAACAAGUACAUAAUUAUAUAUAUACAAAAUACUAAUUAAAAUAUAUAAAUAUAUACGUAAAAUCGGGUUAGGGUGGGGGUGAGGGGUAUAUCCCAUAGCCGACCCUUAUAGGAUUUAAAAAAUUGGGUCCCAUCGAGAUCGGGCGGGCCCCGUCAANNNNNNNNNNNNNNNNNNNNNNNNNNNNNNNNNNNNNNNNNNNNNNNNNNNNNNNNNNNNNNNNNNNNNNNNNNNNNNNNNNNNNNNNNNNNNNNNNNNNAAUAGGAUCGGGAUCGGGCGGGCCCCGUCAGGUUCGAGUGAAAUUAUCAGGCCUUAUAAAUGGUAUCAUAUGAUCUUAUUGAGUUAAUAAAGCAUGGAAUAAAUCAUGAAAUAAAUCAUAUAGCUAAGACGUAAAUGUAAAAUGUAUUAUGUAUAUUAGCAUGGUUAAACAUGUUUUUGUUGUUAAUCAUGAAACAGUUUUUUAAUAACUAAGUAGCUACUGAACUAGUACUUGAGAAUCAUGGACUCGCACAAUGAUAUGUAGAACAUGCCAAGUAAUUAUGAUGGUUUUGUGAAAAUGACAUGCCUGACCAUGCAAAGUAAAUAUGGUAGUUAACGGAGACCUUGUAUAAUACAAUAUAAAUUAGCAUGCUCUAUAUGACAAUGAAUUGACUGUUAAUCAUGGUUUAAUUAUAAUUUUAUGGUUAUUUGAUAUUUGGAGUAGUUAGGUUAAGUCCGGUGUUACCUCGAAUGUGGUUCAUUCCAGUACAUGGUACAAAUACGGGUACAUGGUACUAAUGGUCGAAAAAGCGAUCGAGGCGUGCGCCUCGAGAGGUUUGGGCUUUAUUCAGUUGAGGCUUACGCCUCAUAGCCUUGCGCCUCGAAGCGUAUCAUCAGUUCUUCUUCUUCUUGGUGACAGGUUCAGUUCUUCUUCUACUCUUUCUCUCUCUUCGUCUCUCUGUUUUUGGAAAAGGAAAAGAAAUAGUAUCAGAUUUAUCAUCUACCGUCUGAGUAAAUAUCUUAUGGAUAAUUACAGUUAGGUACCCUAUAGUCUUUAUAAAUUUUUAGUUUAGUCCCAAAAAUUUUCUUAAAUUUCAAAAUAGCCCUUAAAAUUUUACAUAUCAGCCCCUAAAGUUUCAUUUUCUUUCAUUUCAGCCCCUGAAGUUUCAGAAGUUUCAGUUCAGCCCCUAUUUCUUUAUAUUUCCUGCACUUAAGUCCCUAGAGCGAAAAAAAAAAAAAACAUUUCUUGAUAACUCGACGGAGUCGAGUGUUGAUAACUGAAUCUUUUUCUCUAAAUUAUUCAACACAACAAAAUUUGUCUAUAUUCAAUAUUUAUCAGUAACAUAUAUUUUUAAAUCGAGGCUUCCGCCUCACUCCGCCACGAGGCUUACGCCUCGCCUCGUCCGGAGAAAAACGUUUCGUACCGCUUUUUACUUUUUCGAACAUUACGCGGUACGCUAUAUAGUUAAAACGCAGUACCCUUUAUAUAAGUUCUUAUAGUUAGAAAUUGUCAUAGAAUCUAAAUGAAAUAAAUCUAGUUUUAUAAAAGAUUUUUAGUUGAAUCAACAAGUUAAUUGUUUAAAAAAUAGUUUAGGACAAAUGUAAUGUUUGAGCAUGUAAUACUAAGUUAAAAUAUUGAUAUUUGUGCAAUUAUAAGUAAAAUAAUAAAGAAAUUUUUUGGUACGCUAAAUUUAGAAUAUUGAUACAUAAGACUAUCGUGUUUGGGUACGCAAGUACCAAUACACGGUUCCGCUAAGUCAGUGAGAGUAUUUGGUAAUUCUGGUUAAGACAAGGGUUGUUCAUAAGCUAGCUAGAGAGACUAGAGGGUUUUGCUAGUUGCACCGAAAUCCCUUGGUCAAAUACUUAUUGGGUUAUAGUUGGGAGAUGGUCAUGGCAGGUUCAGUCAUAAAUAUUGGGAGGCGAUUUCUAUGAGAAUGACUUAGUGCACAAGUGAAUCAAUUAUACAGGAGUAGGGAAGAGCCACCUAAGAAGACUAAAAGUAAAAAAAUGAUAUUAGCAAAAAAAAAAUCACUUUUUAGAAAAUUUAUCACCUUCUAAUUUUUUUACUCAGAACUUUUUCACGCUUUCUCUAAAAAAAUUAACUUGCACCAUUAUUUUACACGCAAAUGUGCACAAUACUCGCUAGGCCACCAGUGAGCAUAUGCCUGACUUGAGUUAUCAAGGCAUUUUGACGAGGUCGAUCCUUGUGCUGUCAGAGAAUAAACAUGUGAUAUGGUGUUAUCUAUGCUUGUGCAGUGGCUCAAGGACUUUUAUAACUUGUUAUGUAACACCUUUUAGUAUUGAAUAGAUGUAUAACUUGUUUUAUCAUGGGUGUGAUUAUUUUGGUCUGUAAUAUAUACUUUUAACAUGACGCCUUCUACAUAAGGCCAAUGGUGAUGUAAAAGUUAUGAUGUUCUUAACCUAGUUCCAAGUUUGCUGAGCUUUGUGGAAAGAAUCCUAAAAAUCGGCGGUUGAGCAAGAACUUAACAAUCUCACUUUUAAAGGAUUAACCUUCUUUAAGCCUAAGCAAGUUGUAAUCACAAGUUUUGGCAAACUGACUAUAAUCCAAGAGGCGACUCGGGUUGGGGCGUCACAUCAUGGCUAUAGAAGCUGCAUAUUAAAUAUAAACACCAUCAAACAUUAAUGGAGAAAAUUAAUGAAGCAAAAAUAAAUCCAAAACUUAUAUUUUGGAUCAAACUUAGUAUUCUUGUAUUUAUUUAAGAUUUAAAUCCGAAUUCCAAUUAGAGAAUUCAUCUACAUAUGGAUCAAACUUGGUAUUUGUUAGCUAUGAUCCGAGCAGUUUAUGAUUCGAAACCAACAAUUAAUAUUAUCUUUAAAUUAAUUAAUAUAUUUUUUUGAUGUUUCUUAUAAAUGAGAAACUGAUAUUUCUAAGCAUUUUUAAAUUUUUAAUUUUAUAAGUAUAUAAUACUCCCUCCGUCACAGGAUAAAAGUCCUUAUUACUAUUUUAGGUAGUCCCAAGUUAAAUGUCUACUUACCUUAAAUAAUCUAUUUUUUACAAUAAUUUUCCUAUAAUACUCUUAAUGUUAAUUGUCAUAUUUUUAUUCUCUAUGCAUAUUUAUGGAGUAUCACUAGUCAUGCGCAAAAAAUUAUGCAAUUAAAUGAGAAUUUAAAUAUUGACAAUUUUGUCAUUUUAUCAUCUUUCUUAAUAUGCGAAAAAAGUCAACCAGGACUUUUAUUCUAGGACGGAGGGAGUAUUAUAUAUAAUUAUAUGUUUAUCACAUUAAUUCAGAUUAUCCAGAUUUAUAAUCGAAUUUGAAUUGAGUAAUGAUAUAUUAAAACCCACCAGAUUCAAAUCUGGAGAAUAAUAACAAAUUCAUCCGCAAUGAAUUCAACCUAUUGGCAACUUAUAUCUGAAUUGUUUCAUUCUAGAGCAAUAAGUAGACAAUGACACCAUAUAUACUAAUAUACAGAAAAUAUAUGAACUUUCCUAGAAUUUUCAAACACCGUCAAUAUAUCAAGAACAAUAACACUGUAUGUAACCAGAAAAAGAAACGUAUUAAAGUUGUAGUCUCUUGCAUGGAUUCCAGUUGGAGUAUUGCCACGACACCAGAACAAUCCAAAUUAGGGAUAGAAACGCACUUAUUAUGCGAAAAGAAAUUUGCAUGAAGCUCUUACGUGUCAAAAUCAUAAUGAAAUAAUGGGGCCACUGUAGUCAUAUCAUAGAUAUAAUAGUAAUAGGAGCACUUACAGUCUAUGCACUACCAAAAUCCACUCACCGUCCUCUGCAAAACUGUCAUUUCAGUCUCUGUCGUACAUAUACACUUUCUGAGAUCCCCAAUGUAGGAAAGAGCAUUUGAAGAAGCUCCGAGCCUAAAUUAAACAAGUUUAGGUGAGUCUCCAGUAUUUUUAAUUUUUCCAGAGAUACUCGCACUCACUACUUGGGGUGUGCACAGAAUGAACUCUUGGUAGAAUGCACAUCUCUGGAGCUUUUUGCAUACGAAUAUAUACCUAUUCUAAUUCCAUCUGGUCCAUUUUUAACCUUAUUACUGUUACAUGCAUGAUAUUCAACCGCUCUGCUUUCCUCUUCUAUUUUUUUAUUUUGUGAAAUUAUUUUAUUAUGUGUAGCUAAUGGAGAUUUAUUUACUGAAAAUUGUGAAUUUUUCACGUUUUUUUUUAUAUUUUUCAAUUUAAGUGUAGCUUUAGAUUUAAAGUAUCAUAUACAUGCAUAAACAUACUAUAUGAAAUGGCUAAUUUCACAAAUUAUUUUGUUAGUUCCAUGCAGUCAACUCUAACCAGUGUUCUAAGAAUCCCCACCUAGGUCCCGCCUAGGCCCCCUUUGGAGCCUCGCCUAGGUGCUAGGCCCCUCUGGCACCUCAUCUAGGCGGCAAAAAAAUCUCUCCAAGAAAUUAGGCGGGGUAUAGGCGGAGAGGUUUUUUAUUUAUUUUAAUAACUAUCCAAACCAGAUUUUGAUAUAUUUAUUUUUCUAAUGAUUUACUAUACUCAUAAUACAGGUUAUAGCAUAUCAAAUCACAAUCAGAAGUGAACAAUAUCAAGUCAAAAUGGAUAAUUUUAUUAUAGUUGUAAUUUUUUGAACUUGUAUCAACUUCAAAUUAUAUAAAUGAUGAUAUAUGUGUAAUAUUUACUUUAAUUCAAUAUAAUUCUUAAAUUUAUGUUUAGUUUCUUAAGUUUUAAUAUUGAGUUAAAAUCUUAAAAUUUUAAAUUUUAUUAUUUAAUAACAAUCUUGUUUAUGAAUAAAACUAAUAUGUUAAAAAUAUGUUAGAACUUUCAACAAUUACAUAUUUGUGUUUGAACUUUGACAUUAGCAAUAUAGAUAUGUGUUUGAACUUUAAGCAAAUAUUAUCUUUAUUAUAGAUUGUUUUGCUUUAUAUUAUUGUUUUGUUUGGAUAAAUAUAAGAUAAAAUAUUAAAAUUGGCUUAAAAUAAAAAAUCUCGCCUAAGCCCCCGGCCGCCCGCCUCCCGCCUAGCGCUUUUUAGAACAUUGACUCUAACAUGAGAAUAUGGCACACUUUCUAUUCUUGAAAUAAGGACCUUGUGGACCUAGCAUUUUUCCUUGUAAUAGUGGCUAUUCCUUAUAUAAAUACGUAGACAAACACGCAUAUACAUAUUGUGCAGACAAGUUUGUAACUAAAAUGACAGUUUUUUUCUUGUUGUUUACUUGAUUAAUUACAAUUUAGUACCACUACCAGAAAUAUUGCACUUUGCUUCCAUACUUUACACUCGAUGUUAACUAGGAAAUUUCUUGAUUUUCUUUCCAACUAUGAUUGAUAUUCUGGCUUGCAUUAUUUUUUUAUCAGCUUAUUUUUUACUUUUUUCCUUUUCUAUAAGUAUUUGUUUGUAGGCUUACUUAUGAGUUGCCAGCUGCCACUAGAUUAUACAGAAAGAUUGUCAUAAGAGAGGAUAAUAAGCAAAAGUAUAAUAUAACACAUAAUAUUCUUACUUUGCUUUAAAAUUCAUACAUUAAUUUUUUACUAAUACUUUGUUUUAAAAUGAGUAUUAUGCAUUCAUUUAUUAUAUAUUAAAGUUCCUUCUUUUUUUGUAAAGCUUCAUGUAAUCAUGUUGAAGUUGCAAUUAGUUCUCACUACUUUCAUGCAGGACUAUAACUGGACUGAAAAAACAACUAAUUAGAAUAGUCAUCUCCAAAAGAACAAGAACUAUGGGGACUGAUGAAUCUGAAAGUUUCAGUUGUCACAAGGUCAUCAAAUCUGAGGCACUACCUCAAAAAGAAGAAAUGAACGACCACCCGAUAUCUUCAUUGAACAAACCUACUUCUAAAUUCUCUCGUACCCUAGAUAAAUUUCAGAACGAAAUGGGGAAAAAUUAUGGCUCCAUGAACUUCGAUGAACUCCUCAAUAAAUUUUUCGGCGAAGAAAAUCAAGAUUCUUUAAAAUUCAACCAAAUCGAACCAUCCUAUGAAAACAGAGUCAUCCAACCAACAAUGUUACCUCGACAAGAAUCUUUUUCCAUCCCCACCACAUAUUGCGGUAAAACUCUAGAAGAACUGUGGUCUGAAAUCAAUAAAAAUGAUUCACAACUUCCAGGUCUACACCUCAGUUGUUGUAAUCAUGACCCAAGUUCUUCCCAAGAAACUGUUGAACAAAUUACCUUGGAGGAUUUCUUGAUAAGUAACGGGGUUCUUAGGAAGUCUACCUUGCUAGAAAAUUCACAUAACAACAUCCCAGAUCUCGAUACGAAAGUGAAAAUGGGAUCGCCGAUGGAUCAUCAAUUAUCUACUGUUGCUACAAAUUAUGCUGGAAAUAAUUUGCUAGAGAAUGGUUCGUCAACGUACCAGAUGUUUACUCAAGGUAGCGUGACAAUUGGGGAUGAACAAUUUGACAACAUUGAAAAAGUUAAAUGUAACAAUAGUGCAUCGGACGUGACUGAGCCAAGUAACAAAAGAAAGACAAAAACUGACUCAGUAGAGGUGAUAGUGGCCCGCAAGCAACGGAGGAUGUUCAGGAAUAGAGAGUCGGCAGCACGCUCUCGAGCUAGAAAGCAGGUUCAUAUCUAAACCAUAAGCAUCUUAGUUUAACUAUAUUUUGAAAGUAGCCAAUGUAGUAAACACUUAUAAUCCCCAAUCUCUACCCAAAGAAACUUUAGCAAGUAGGAAAAAGCAAUGAAGUGAAUGAAAAAAUAACCCUAACAGUUUACAAUAUAGUAAGCUAGUCUCUAAAAUGAUAUAUCAAUGGCCGCAAAGUCACCCCUACUAACCACAGGUCAUGGGUUCAUUGACCCUCCCCACAAAUUCUUAGUCGUACACACACAGAGCGAGAGAGAAAUAGAGUUUAGGAUAGUUAGAAUUCUGCACAACCCCAACGGUUUAUCCCAAAUGGUAGUCAGACAAUGAGACUAGUGAUGAGUUUGUUCCAAAGCAUACAAUACCCCCACAAAGGCAAUAAUUCCUUCGGGUAACUCGCACAUAAUUUGCUAUGGGUUUACCGGAUAUGCAUGGUUGGUGGAGUAUUGCAUGCACUGACACUUUAUACAAUGCACACCCUAAGAGUAGUGGAUGCGGGUUCCACCGUCAUCUAAAAAGAAAAGUAAAAAUUGUAGUAUUGUACAGGUUAUGCUUUGCUAGAAAAAGAAGUCCUUUUUGUGUCUAGAACUCUACAGUCGAACACAGUUCUCACAACAGUUUUCUCUGUACCUUAAUAAAAAAGUUUGAGAGAUUUUUAUUUUCUCAAUCUUUAGGAAUCACAAUCUUGUAAACAGAAAUAAAGAGAAAACAAAUGCUAAAUGCUAUGUCUGCAAUGGAAUUGUACCAUGAUUACAGUGAAAAUUAAUUUUUUACUGUGCAGGCAUACACAAUGCAAUUGGAAGUAGAGCAGAUUCAACUGAAAGGAGAGAAUAAAAGGCUAAAGUUCGAGUUGGUAAGAAAAAUAUGCUUUUAGAUAAUAACUUGGACAUUUUGUACAUUAAUACUUUUGUAUGAGCUUUUCUUCCAGUAUUGUGAACUAAACAUGCCUAAUUGGUUUGGCGCAAACAUGCAGAAGGUGUUGAAGGAGAAAUUUCCAAAGGUGCCAAGGAUGGAGGAGAAGCCUAAAACAAUGCGGAGGACCAUAAGCUUGUGAAUGCCAAAGCAAAGGAGAAUGGUAAAUGGAAAGUGUUGGGCAUGUCUUACAACAAUAUGAUAUCUAAAAACUAUGUAUUUGAAAUGUGUAAUUAGACUUUCUUUAUGCUUGAAAAGCUUUUGCAUCUUAAUCAUCAUCUUUGAUGAUUAACUUUGACAGAAGUAAUGUUCAGGUUUAUCUCAUUAUGUACUUUAUCUCUCUCUCUAAAAUUAUCAUUCAAUGUUUCCCUCUGUAAAACCUAUUCUACAUAUUAUAUCCAUUCAAAGGACUCAAACAAUAUCCAUCGACCCAUAAUUUAACUCUGUAACUAAUUAAUUUAAUUAUUACUCAUCUAAAUGUUUUUAAUCUUAGAUUUAAUUUAUAAGUAUUAGAAAACUAAUCACUCACGUUUGUGUGCAAGGUAGACUAGUUUAUCUCUAAAUUUGGAACUGAGAAUUAGUAUCACUACCACAUACAAAAAUUAGCAAGACGUACAGUUAAUUGUAGUUGAAUGAGUAAAAAUUGAGGGGGAAAUGACUUAAAAUACCCAAAAAAAAUCUAGUAAAACUGAGAAACACAUACAGAAAUCAAUAACUUUACUGGUUUCAUGGCUUGACGUUCCCUCUCUCCAUUACAGCUUAUAAAGAAGAUUUGCACUCCCGAUCGUAAUGGGUACCCACCCUUUCACAGUUUCUGAAAUUUGCACAAAAAUAAUAAAAAGCAAAAUAUAAAUAUGUGAAGGAGAUAAUAUCGUGACAAAGAUACCAUUGCUUCUUCUUCCUGCUAUAUUUAGUGCAGUAUUUGGCUGCGAUUCCUUUGAAGUGGGCAUUUGAGAGUAACAGAUCAGAAUCGCGGUCAGAUUAAUUGCACGCCGAAGUACCACACCACAAUAUCGCCAAUACCAGACCGAAUCAUUUGAGGUGGGUUGAGAGAUGCUCCUAAAACUCAUAGGCUUGGUUGGUUAUCAUUCAUGCCCUUAAAAAAUUAUUUAAAGUUAACUCGACUAAAUUCUUUGGAAACUAUACAUAUACAUCUAUAAUAAUAGGGGGG